rnacentral:rRNA from 1 species
GAUGAACGCUGGCGGCGUGCUUAACACAUGCAAGUCGAACGAAGCAUUUGCGACAGAUUUUUUCGGAAUGAAGUUGCUUAUGACUGAGUGGCGGACGGGUGAGUAACGCGUGGGUAACCUGCCUUGUACUGGGGGAUAGCAGCUGGAAACGGCUGGUAAUACCGCAUAAGCGCACAAUGUUGCAUGACAUGGUGUGAAAAACUCCGGUGGUAUAAGAUGGACCCGCGUCUGAUUAGCUAGUUGGUGAGAUAACGGCCCACCAAGGCGACGAUCAGUAGCCGACCUGAGAGGGUGACCGGCCACAUUGGGACUGAGACACGGCCCAGACUCCUACGGGAAGCAGCAGUGGGGAAUAUUGCACAAUGGAGGAAACUCUGAUGCAGCGACGCCGCGUGAGUGAAGAAGUAAUUCGUUAUGUAAAGCUCUAUCAGCAGGGAAGAUAGUGACGGUACCUGACUAAGAAGCUCCGGCUAAAUACGUG